CUUUUCAGUUCCUUGUUCUGUUCCUUAUAGUUAGAGCCAGAAUUUCCCACCUUCUCAUUGUUGAACCCUUUGGAAAUCCAAAAGAA